CUUAGUCCAUAGGUGGCGUGGGAGCUCAUUAGUGCAGAGGUGACAGGUGUUUCUGAUCCUGCUGACUGCUGCUGGGAGCAUUUAAGCAGGAGGCUGCCAGCCCUUUGACGCCUGAGUGUGUGCCAACAGUGGUUGCUUUCAAGCCCUGGCUCAGCUUCCAGUUCGUUUCCUGACUUCUGGAUCUCAGAUUCAAGCCCCCAGUUACCACCUCUGGACAAACUCCAAGCUGGCAGCUUCCUGGCUCCGUGCUCAACUGGCCACAAUCAGAAGCGAACCCUGUUCACCCUCCAAUGAGCUCCCGUGCAAGCACCACCACCCAGAGCACCACACCACUUUCUUCACAACACGGACUAAGCUUAACUGGACUUCCCGAAAACUUCCUUCAAGCAUCCAUAGACCAAUUUACCUUGGAUAUUACCCUCCUCAGUCUCCUCUGGUCUCGUGCUCCCAGGCUCCACAUCUCUUUUCCCCUGGCAGUGAGUCAUCUCCUCCUUUGGUGAUCUACUGGUCCUGGUUCUCUCGCCACAAACUCAUUCCUGUGAAAAUAAACCUCUUAAAAUCUG